AAUCACCAAGAGACCAGUUUCGCUCAAAGACCAAGAGACCAAUCUUUGCUCUCUCAUCUCUCUCUAUUCAACCUUGCUUAAGUAGGGAAGCUAACUACAAGUAAGGCAAAUGCUGAAGUGGUGUCUGUUGUCAGGAAGGAGGAAAAGCAACAGAAAAUGCACAGCUUUUGCGAAGUUAUUUGAUCAUUUGUGGUAGAGCAAAGAAAAGUGACAACACAAACUUGUGUUGUUUUCCAGAAAAGUGCAUGGUUGAGGAAUUAGGGAGGGUAUCAUUGCAAUCAAAAAUCAUCAUUGUACAUCUGCUGGGAUAAGUCAGACGACUGGGACCUUAUGACUUCACUUGAAGCCACGCCCACAUGAUCACUACCCCCAGAAUCCAUCAGUUGGAUGAUUAUCACGUGACCGCUUGUUAUUGAAGAGCUCUCUGUCUUUGAAUUUGGCAUCUUGGCUUGAUAUUGUUGCUUGUUUAUUUGAGGAGUAAUUCUGACUUCAUUCUUGAGUGGAACAUUAUCCAGGGGAACUAGCUAACACUUUCAGUGGAUACAAUGGUUGAGAUUGUGACUAGUGGGAGGAAGAGGGGUAGAAGUGAGACAGAGGGAAAUUCUGUGCAAUGUGCACAGUCUACUGAUGAAGGAGAGAAUCAUGAUGUGUCUGUAAAGAAAAAGAAACCAAGAGGCAGAACCUGUUUGCAAAUGAUGGCAACAGGGGAAAAGGAAAAAAAUUAGUGGAGUGGAAUUCAAAGGGGCAACCUGUUGGAGCUGUCUCCGUCAAAUUCUCGUCUACUAUGGGAGUAAUAGUGAGAGAACAAGUGCCAAUUGUCAUCGACAAUUGGCAUGGAGUUAAGGAUCUUGCUAGGGACAGUCUCUGGACACUUCUGAUGCAAAAGUACAUGGUGGAUGUGUGCUUCAAGCCAUUUAUCUUGCAGCAAAUGGGGAAAUUAUGGAGAUCUUGGAAAUCUGAACUUUCAACUGAGAUAAGAAAAAUUCUGGAAUUGAAGUCGACCAAGACAGAGAGGACAAAUCUUAUUGCCAAACUGAAGCCUCAUGAUGUGUCAUUACCAGAGUGGGAUCAAUUCGUGUAACAACGAAUGUCUGAUAAGUGGCUGGCAAAAAGUUUGAAAAUGAGAGAAAUAAGAGCAAAACAGACUCUUACCCACACAUUGAGUCGAAAAGGGUAUGCACGAAAGGAAGAUAAACAUAACAAAGAACACCCUGACAAGCCUUUGACCAAGCCACAACUUUGGAUUGAAGCACAUGUGUCAA